rnacentral:rRNA from 1 species
UACGUAGGCACCAAGCGUUGUCCGGAUUUAUUGGGCGUAAAGAGCUCGUAGGCGGUUCGGUAAGUCGGGUGUGAAAACUCUGGGCUCAACCCAGAGAGGCCACCCGAUACUGCCGUGACUGGAGUGCGGUAGGGGAAUGGGGGAAUUCCUGGUGUAGCGGUGAAAUGCGCAGAUAUCAGGAGGAACACCAGUGGCGAAGGCGCCACUCUGGGCCGUAACUGACGCUGAGGAGCGAAAGCGUGGGGAGCAAACGGG